AUGGGGUGGAGAGCACAGUUAUGGGGUGGAGGGCUCAGGGUUAUGGGGUGGGAAGCUCUGGGUUAUGGGGUGGGGAGCUCUGGUUUAUGGGGUGGAGGGCUCAGGGUUAUGGGGUGGAGGGCUCAGGGUUAUGGGGUGGAGGGCUCACGGUUAUGGGGUGGAGGGCUCAGGGUUAUGGGGUGGAGGGCUCAGGGUUAUGGGGUGGAGGGCUCAGGGUUAUGGGGUGGAGGGCUCUGGGUUAUGGGGUGGAGAGCUCAGGGCUAUGGGGUGGAGAGCUCGGGGUUAUGGGGUGGAGGGCUCUCAGUUAUGGGGUGGAGAGCUUGGGGUUAUGGGUGGAGAGCUCAGGGGUUAUGGGCUGGAGCGCUCGGGAUUAUGGGGUGGAGGGCUCAGGGUUGUAGGGGUGGAGGGCUCUCAGUUAUGGGGUGGAGCCCUCGGGGUUAUGGGGUGGAUUGCUCUCAGUUAUGGGGUGGAGAGCUUGGGGUUAUAGGGGUGGAGGGCUCAGUGCUAUGGGAUGGAGCACUCUCAGUUAUGGGGUGGACAGCUCUCCAUUAUGGGGCGGACUGCUCUCAGUUGUGGUGUGGAUUGCUCUCCGUUAUGGAGUGGGCUGCUCCCCGUUAUGGGGCAGACUGCUCUCUGUUAUGGGGCGGACCGCUCUCUGUUAUGGGGCAGGCUGCUCCCCUUUAUGGGGCGGGCUGCUCUCCGUUAUAGGGCGGGCUGCUUCCCGUUAUGGGUCGGGCUGCUCCCCGUUAUGGGGCAGGCUGCUCUCCGUUAUAGGGCGGGCUGCUCCCCUUUCUGGGGCGGGCUGCUCUCCGUUAUAGGGCGGGCUGCUCCCCGUUAUGGGGCGGGCUGCUCUCCAUUAUGGGGCAGACUGCUCUCUGUUAUAGGGCGGGCUGCUCCCCGUUAUGGGGCGGAGUGCUCUCCGUUAUAGGGCGGGCUGCUCCCUGUUAUGGGGCGGGCUGCUCCCCUUUAUGGGGAGGGCUGCUCUCCAUUAUAGGGCGGGCUGCUCUCCGUUAUAGGGCGGGCUGCUCCCCGUUAUGGGGUGGGCUGCUCUCCAUUAUGGGGCGGGCUGCUCUCUGUUAUAGGGCAGGCUGCUCUCUGUUAUAGGGCGGGCUGCUCCCCGUUAUGGGGCGGGCUGCUCCCCGUUAUGGGGCAGGCUGCUCUCCGUUAUAGGGCGGGCUGCUCCCCUUUAUGGGGCGGAGUGCUCUCCGUUAUAGGGCGGGCUGCUCCCCGUUCUGGGGCGGGCUGCUCCCCUUUAUGGGGCAGACUGCUCUCUGUUAUAGGGUGGGCUGCUCCCCAUUCUGGGGCGGAGUGCUCUCCGUUAUAGGGCGGGCUGCUCCCCUUUAUGGGGCGGGCUGCUCCCCGUUCCGGGGUGUCCUCACCUCCGCAUCGAACAGCACCGCCAGGACCACGUAGCACGCGCUGCUCCCCAGUCGCACGGGGCCGCUUUGCUCCGCGCUGCCCCCGGCGCUGCCCCCGGCUCCGUCCCGCACUUCCCACGCUCUCCCGCUCAGCACCGCGUCCAUCUCCUCCGCGGCCUCGGCCAUGGCAGCGCCGCUCACGGGGUCGCGGGGUUUUGGGGCGGCGUCGGGGGGACCCUGCAGGCGUGGAGGCG
rnacentral:lncRNA from 1 species